rnacentral:rRNA from 1 species
AACCUGCCCAAGAGAUCGGGAUAACACCUGGAAACAGAUGCUAAUACCGGAUAACAACAGAUGAUGCCUAUCAACUGUUUAAAAGAUGGUUCUGCUAUCACUCUUGGAUGGACCUGCGGUGCAUUAGCUAGUUGGUAGGGUAACGGCCUACCAAGGCGACGAUGCAUAGCCGAGUUGAGAGACUGAUCGGCCACAUUGGGACUGAGACACGGCCCAAACUCCUACGGGAGGCAGCAGC